rnacentral:pre_miRNA from 1 species
CUAUGCCUGGCUCCCUGUAUGCCACAAACAUAUUCCAACCUUUCAUCUUAGGUUGGCCAUUACGUUGGUGGCGUACCAGGAGCCAAGCCUAC